CCUACGGGAGACAGCAGUGGGGAAUAUUGCACAAUGGGGGGAACCCUGAUGCAGCGACGCCGCGUGAAGGAAGAAGUAUUUCGGUAUGUAAACUUCUAUCAGCAGGGAAGAAAAUGACGGUACCUGACUAAGAAGCCCCGGCUAACUACGUGCCAGCAGCCGCGGUAAUACGUAGGGGGCAAGGGUUAUCCGGAUUUACUGGGUGUAAAUGGAGCGUAGGCGGCAGUGCAAGUUAGAAGGGAAAGGCCAAGGCUCAACCAUGGGACUGCUUUUGAAACUGUACAGCUAGAGUGCAGGAGAGGUACGUGGAAUGCCUGGUGUAGCGGUGAAAUGCGUAGAAAUUAGGAGGAACCCCAGUGGCGAAGGCGGCUUACUGGACUGUAAAUGACGCUGAGGCUCGAAAGCGUGGGGAGCAAACAGGAUUAGAUACCCUUGUAGUC
rnacentral:rRNA from 1 species